rnacentral:rRNA from 1 species
AUUGAACGCUGGCGGAAUGCUUUACACAUGCAAGUCGAACGGCAGCACGGACUUCGGUCUGGUGGCGAGUGGCGAACGGGUGAGUAAUGUAUCGGAACGUGCCCAGUCGUGGGGGAUAACGUAGUGAAAAUUACGCUAAUACCGCAUACGAUCUAUGGAUGAAAGCGGGGGAUCGCAAGACCUCGCGCGAUUGGAGCGGCCGAUAUCAGAGUUAGGUAGUUGGUGGGGUAAAGGCCCACCAAGCCAACGAUCUGUAGCUGGUCUGAGAGGACGAUCAGCCACACUGGAACUGAGACACGGUCCAGACUCCUACGGGAGGCAGCAGUGGGGAAUUUUGGACAAUGGGCGAAAGCCUGAUCCAGCCAUUCCGCGUGCAGGAUGAAGGCCCUCGGGUUGUAAACUGCUUUUGUACAGAACGAAAAGGUUUCUACUAAUGCUAGGAGCUCAUGACGGUACUGUAAGAAUAAGCACCGGCUAACUACGUGCCAGCCGCCGCCGUAA